UCGCUCUCAUUCUGGACACGGCCGCAUG
rnacentral:piRNA from 1 species